AACGAACGCUGGCGGCAUGCCUAACACAUGCAAGUCGAACGAGACCUUCGGGUCUAGUGGCGCACGGGUGCGUAACGCGUGGGAACCUGCCCUUAGGUUCGGAAUAACUCCCCGAAAGGGGUGCUAAUACCGGAUAAUGUCUUCGGACCAAAGAUUUAUCGCCUUUGGAUGGGUCCGCGUUGGAUUAGCUAGUUGGUAGGGUAAAAGCCUACCAAGGCGACGAUCCAUAGCUGGUCUGAGAGGAUGAUCAGCCACACUGGGACUGAGACACGGCUCAGACUCCUACGGGAGGCAGCAGUGGGGAAUAUUGGACAAUGGGCGAAAGCCUGAUCCAGCAAUGCCGCGUGAGUGAUGAAGGCCUUAGGGUUGUAAAGCUCUUUUACCCGGGAUGAUAAUGACAGUACCGGGAGAAUAAGCUCCGGCUAACUCCGUG
rnacentral:rRNA from 1 species